UGCAGAUCUGGUUGAUUCUGCCAGAGGUCACUGCUAUCGGGGUUCGAUUAAGCCAUGCGAGUCGAGAGGGUUCGGCCCUCGGCGUACUGCUCAGUAACACGUGGAUAACCUGCCCUAGGGAAGGGGAUAACCCCGGGAAACUGGGGAUAAUACCCUAUAGGUUACAGAUGCUGGAAUGCCCUGUAACCCAAAGUUCCGACGCCCUAGGAUGGAUCUGCGGCCGAUUAGGUUGUUGUUGGGGUAAUGGCCCAACAAGCCCGUAAUCGGUACGGGUUGUGGGAGCAAGAGCCCGGAGUUGGAUUCUGAGACACGAAUCCAGGCCCUACGGGGCGCAGCAGGCGCGAAAACUUUACAAUGCGGGCAACCGUGAUAAGGGAACCUCGAGUGCCUGUAAAUGCAGGCUGUUCAGGUGCCUAAAACACACCUGAAGAAAGGGCCGGGCAAGACCGGUGCCAGCCGCCGCGGUAAUACCGGCGGCUCGAGUGGUGGCCGCUUUUAUUGGGCUUAAAGCGUUCGUAGCUGGGUUGUUAAGUCUCUUGGGAAAUCUGGCGGCUUAACCGUCAGGCGUCUAAGGGAUACUGGCAAUCUUGGAACCGGGAGAGGUGAGGGGUACUUCGGGGGUAGGAGUGAAAUCCUGUAAUCCUCGAGGGACCACCUGUGGCGAAGGCGCCUCACCAGAACGGCUU
rnacentral:rRNA from 1 species